rnacentral:sRNA from 1 species
AUUCGCUACCGCCUGGGCACCAUCCGCCCAUCUUCCUCGGUCAUGAACAUGCAUGAAAUUUAUGUAAGUCCAUCCUUCCCCACAAUGCUGCCAUCUCCCCAUGGCUCAGAACCUCAGGGAGGCUGGCCCUGUGCCCUGCUCCUCCAAGGGCCUGGACCAUCCCCUACUACAAGGCUGUGUGUCCCUGGACAAGUUACUCCCCUUCUCUGGGCCUCUGUUCCCUGCUUCCACAGGAUGUGCUGUGCUGGAAGAACUGAUGCUCAGAUUGAAUUUCGUGGUCUUGGCAUCAGCUCCCCCCUGAUCUCUCCAGCCUGGGAAAAAUGCUGUUGGUCUCAGUACAGCUGGGUUAGGGCCCAAGGGGACAGGGGGUCACCUUGGUAUUUUGGGAAGGGAAGGACACACGCUCCUCCAGUUCUGGCCAGAGGGCAGCAGUUCUCGGAAAUAAAUGCCGGUUCAGCGGAACCCCAAGGGAGGAGAGGGCUUCUCCCUUCCCACCAGUGGGACCCUCUGGGAGAGGAAUGAAAACCAGGCCCGAAGUGAAAGGGUGAGGAAGGGGAGCUUCAGCAGGCCUGGACCGGGACAUGUGCUGGAGCAUUUGUCCAUCAGUGGCAGGCAGCGGGGAGGCAGGGGCUGGCAGGAGUGGCCCUCCCUGUGGAGACUUCGGCCUUGGGUGACCAGACCCUGGCCCUGCCCUUAUUCCCCUGGGCCUCUGGCUAUUUUCUGCCUCUUGCUGUUUGUGUUGGCAGCCUGCCUGGUCACGGGACCCUACUGCCUCUUCCCUCCCCUGCCCUUUGGGGCCUGAAGCUAAGGCCUGAAGAAAGCUAAGGCCGAUCAGAAGGUGCAGAGGAAAGAGGCAGGGGUUGAGAAUGGAAAGCUGAGGGACCUGGCCUGGCCACUUCUCUGUGCCUGGCCUCAGCUGCCUCAUCUGGGAAGCAGGACUAGUCACCACCGCCACCCACCCCGCCCCACCACCUGAUACCUGGGAGGCACUAAAUGGUGCUUGGUUCUUCAAUACAAGUCAAAGUUGGAGGCAGCUGGAAUCCUGCAGUAGCAGGAGGGCUCAAGAUUAAACUGCAGAAGGCCCUGGACUUGGUGGCCCUCCAGUGCCAAUAGGCACCUGAGGGGCAGGCCAGGGCAGAGCAGGAGGCAGACAGGGCAACCUUUAUCUUGCAGACAGUGCUGAACCCAGGGGAGGUGCUUCCCACAGCCUUCGAGGCCUCUGAGAAGUGGCCCAACCUGAUUCAUGAGCCUCUUGACCAAGGCAACUGUGCAGGCUCCUGGGCCUUCUCCACAGCAGCUGUGGCAUCCGAUCGUGUCUCAAUCCAUUCUCUGGGACACAUGACGCCUGUCCUGUCGCCCCAGAACCUGCUGUCUUGUGACACCCACCAGCAGCAGGGCUGCCGCGGUGGGCGUCUCGAUGGUGCCUGGUGGUUCCUGCGUCGCCGAGGGUAUGCAGCAACAGGGGAUGUGGGCAGAGAAGAGGGCAAGGAGCUCCGUGGGCAUGGCCUGGGCCAUGAUGCACUGAGUCUUUCUGCCUUUGCUCCCUCUUGCUGCCUUUGCAGGGUGGUGUCUGACCACUGCUACCCCUUCUCGGGCCGUGAACGAGACGAGGCUGGCCCUGCGCCCCCCUGUAUGAUGCACAGCCGAGCCAUGGGUCGGGGCAAGCGCCAGGCCACUGCCCACUGCCCCAACAGCUAUGUUAAUAACAAUGACAUCUACCAGGUCACUCCUGUCUACCGCCUCGGCUCCAACGACAAGGAGAUCAUGAAGGAGCUGAUGGAGAAUGGCCCUGUCCAAGGUAAACCCCCUUAUCCAGCACCCUGGUUCCAGAAGCUUGUGCCUGCUUGAGAGUGGGCACAGUAGCACAAGUGGUCUGCACAGCAUUCAGCAGCAUGUCCAGUGGGGCCAGGAGUAGGGGUCCUCCCCUCCCACAGGCAGCACCUGGAGGGAGCACUUAGAGCUUUGGUAUGGAGGGACCCUGGUGCCUGGGCACACCUCAACAGACUCAGGCUCCAGUGCCUGUGCCAAUGGGCUGAGUGGACCCUACCUUGACAUCUGCCAACAGCCCUCAUGGAGGUGCAUGAGGACUUCUUCCUAUACAAGGGAGGCAUCUACAGCCACACGCCAGUGAGCCUUGGGAGGCCAGAGAGAUACCGCCGGCAUGGGACCCACUCAGUCAAGAUCACAGGAUGGGGAGAGGAGACGCUGCCAGAUGGAAGGACGCUCAAAUACUGGACUGCGGCCAACUCCUGGGGCCCAGCCUGGGGCGAGAGGGGCCACUUCCGCAUCGUGCGCGGCGUCAAUGAGUGCGACAUCGAGAGCUUCGUGCUGGGCGUCUGGGGCCGCGUGGGCAUGGAGGACAUGGGUCAUCACUGAGGCUGCGGGCACCACGCGGGGUCCGGCCUGGGAUCCAGGCUAAGGGCCGGCGGAAGAGGCCCCAAUGGGGCGGUGACCCCAGCCUCGCCCGACAGAGCCCGGGGCGCAGGCGGGCGCCAGGGCGCUAAUCCCGGCGCGGGUUCCGCUGACGCAGCGCCCCGCCUGGGAGCCGCGGGCAGGCGAGACUGGCGGAGCCCCCAGACCUCCCAGUGGGGACGGGGCAGGGCCUGGCCUGGGAAGAGCACAGCUGCAGAUCCCAGGCCUCUGGCGCCCCCACUCAAGACUACCAAAGCCAGGACACCUCAAGUCUCCAGCCCCACUACCCCACCCCACUCUUGUAUUCUUUUUUUUUUUUUUAGACAGAGUCUUGCCCCGUUGCCCAGGCUGGAGUGCAGUGGCCCAUCAGGGCUCACUGUAACCUCCGACUCCUGGGUUCAAGUGACCCUCCCACCUCAGCCUCUCAAGUAGCUGGGACUACAGGUGCACCACCACACCUGGCUAAUUUUUGUAUUUUUUGUAAAGAGGGGGGUCUCACUGUAUUGCCCAGGCUGGUCUCGAACUCCUGGGCUCAAGCGGUCCACCUGCCUCCGCCUCCCAAAGUGCUGGGAUUGCAGGCAUGAGCCACUGCACCCAGCCCUGUAUUCUUAUUCUUCAGAUAUUUAUUUUUCUUUUCACUGUUUUAAAAUAAAACCAAAGUAUUGAUAA